AACGAACGCUGGCGGCAUGCCUAACACAUGCAAGUCGAACGAGACCUUCGGGUUUAGUGGCGCACGGGUGCGUAACGCGUGGGAAUCUGCCCUUCGGUUGGGAAUAACUGAGAGAAAUUUCAGCUAAUACCUUAUAAUGUCUUCGGACCAAAGAUUUAUCGCCGAGGGAUGAGCCCGCGUAGGAUUAGGUAGUUGGUGGGGUAAUGGCCUACCAAGCCGACGAUCCUUAGCUGGUCUGAGAGGAUGAUCAGCCACACUGAGACUGAGACACGGCCCAGACUCCUACGGGAGGCAGCAGUGGGGAAUAUUGGACAAUGGGCGAAAGCCUGAUCCAGCAAUGCCGCGUGAGUGAUGAAGGCCUUAGGGUUGUAAAGCUCUUUUACCCGGGAUGAUAAUGACAGUACCGGGAGAAUAAGCUCCGGCUAACUCCGUGCCAGCAGCCGCCGUAA
rnacentral:rRNA from 1 species